UGGUGUUGGCGAGGCAGGGCAGUUAGAUUUAUAGACUCCCAUGAGAGGAAGCAGGGAGCGGCAGAAGGAUGAAGUGCACCUUGGUACAGAAUUAGGAGGGACUUUCAGCCCAGGGUAAAUUUCCACAAAGACCAGGAGGCUCUACGCAACUGAAGUUGGACAGCCCUGACAUUGCCUUUUCAGUAAAUAGUCACAUGUUUGUAGUUGGUCUGAACACAAAUACAGUUAUGUAAA